CCUGGUGGCCAUACUGGAGGGGAAACACCCGUUCCCAUCCCGAAUACGGUCGUUAAGCCCUCCGAGGUUGAUGGUACUGCAUCGGCAACGAUGUGGGAGAGUAGAACGCUGCCAGGA
rnacentral:rRNA from 1 species